rnacentral:rRNA from 1 species
GACGAACGCUGGCGGCGUGCCUAAUACAUGCAAGUAGGACGCUGAAGAGAGGAGCUUGCUCUUCUUGGAUGAGUUGCGAACGGGUGAGUAACGCGUAGGUAACCUGCCUUGUAGCGGGGGAUAACUAUUGGAAACGAUAGCUAAUACCGCAUAACAAUGGAUGACACAUGUCAUUUAUUUGAAAGGGGCAAUUGCUCCACUACAAGAUGGACCUGCGUUGUAUUAGCUAGUAGGUGAGGUAACGGCUCACCUAGGCGACGAUACAUAGCCGACCUGAGAGGGUGAUCGGCCACACUGGGACUGAGACACGGCCCAGACUCCUACGGGAGGCAGCAGUAGGGAAUCUUCGGCAAUGGGGGCAACCCUGACCGAGCAACGCCGCGUGAGUGAAGAAGGUUUUCGGAUCGUAAAGCUCUGUUGUAAGUCAAGAACGAGUGUGAGAGUGGAAAGUUCACACUGUGACGGUAGCUUACCAGAAAGGGACGGCGAACUACGU